rnacentral:rRNA from 1 species
UCGAGAGGCUUCCACAAUGGGGGAAACCCUGAUGGAGCGACGCCGCGUGGGUGAUGAAGGUCUUCGGAUCGUAAAGCCCUUUCAGCAGGGAAGAAGAGAUUGGCGACUAAUAAUCGCUGAGAUCAGACGGUACCUGAAGAAGAAGCUCCGGCUAACUCCGUGCCAGCAGCCGCGGUAAGACGGAGGGAGCAAGCGUUGUUCGGAUUUACUGGGCGUAAAGGGCGUCGAGGCGGGCUGAUAAGUCAGAUGUGA